AGUGAACGCUGGCGGUAGGCCUAACACAUGCAAGUCGAACGGCAGCACAGUAAGAGCCUGCUCUUACGGGUGGCGAGUGGCGGACGGGUGAGGAAUACAUCGGAAUCUACUUUUUCGUGGGGGAUAACGUAGGGAAACUUACGCUAAUACCGCAUACGACCUACGGGUGAAAGCAGGGGAUCUUCGGACCUUGCGCGAUUGAAUGAGCCGAUGUCGGAUUAGCUAGUUGGCGGGGUAAAGGCCCACCAAGGCGACGAUCCGUUGCUGGUCUGAGAGGAUGAUCAGCCACACUGGAACUGAGACACGGUCCAGACUCCUACGGGAGGCAGCAGUGGGGAAUAUUGGACAAUGGGCGCAAGCCUGAUCCAGCCAUACUGCGUGGGUGAAGAAGGCCUUCGGGUUGUAAAGCCCUUUUGUUGGGAAAGAAAAGCAGCAGGUUAAUACCCCGCUGUUCUGACGGUACCCAAAGAAUAAGCACCGGCUAACUUCGUG
rnacentral:rRNA from 1 species